AAAAUUUCCUCUACAUUCCCAAGCUUUCCAUUAAAAACAACUUUUUUUCUAGAAAGCCUCGCAGACCAAGAGACCACUUGCCACACAACAUAGUGAAAUUUGUUAUAGAUAGAACCGCACAACCACACACGAAUCUAUGACACAUAAGGAUGAUCCAGAUUUGUAACAUCAAGCUCCUUAAGACCCAACCAGAGAUGACGCAUCGUCUCUACAACACAAGAAUAAAAAUGAAAAACAAAUUGUUAUACACUAUACCAAACACACCUCUAUUCACACGCUGAUCUCUAAUUAGAAACUUAUUAUGCAUGGAUCUCCAACUAAAUAAAUUAAUCUUUCUUGACACUAUGACUUUCCACAAAAGACUCAACUCCUUUAGCAAGCUAACAUCCAAGAUCAAGUUGACAUCACUCAAAUCCUGGAUAUGUAUCUGAAGAUCCGACUCUGACUCUGAAGAUCACUUAUGAAGAUUCUUUCUCUGAUGGAGAUCCAAACUCUGAAGAAGUCAAUCUGAAUCUGGAAUCAACUCUAGUCACCAUGAAUAUGAAACUUAAGAAGUCAAUAAGUGGAUUCUGAUGUGAUCAGCCUCUAAAGAGUGAAGUCUGAAGAAAGCCUACCUAUGAAGCAGAAGCUCUUUAACUGAGGCAACUCUGACAGAUUCAAAAUCUUUUGAUCACGUGAAGACUUAAGGGAAUAUCUCUUCUUGGAUGCUUGAGCCUUAAUAGAUAAUUCCUCGUGCAUAAAUGUGUUUUAUUGAUGUGUCUAAUCAAGUACAAAGCUAGCCCAACCUUUUGGUGAAAAUCUCCAACGUCUCUUUUCUCCUUCUCUAUUUAAGAAACAGAAUGGCUGAAGAAGAAAAUUAGCAAACUUCAAUACAACACACUGCCACACAGACUCAGAACCUUGACAAUCAAAGAGAAGUCGAUCUGUUAAAAUUACUAGACUUAGAACAUAUUAACACUUGAAUUUUUUAGAAUUUUUAAGUCUUAAAGUUUGUCUAAGUUGUAUUUUGUCUACACCUCUGAUUGUAUAUUAAGUGUAGUUAUUACCCAAAUAUCUUAAAAGUUUGUUAUAGAGUCAUAAGUCUCUUAUUUUAAUACUUGAGAAUUUGAAGUAUUUAGCUUGUGUGCUAGAGGAAGGAAGUCUCAGACUUGUGUAUUUGAGAAAGGAAGUCUUGAGCUUGUGUGCUUGAGCAAGGAAGUCUCAAAUUUAUGUGUUUGAUCAAGGAAGUCUUAUACUUAUGUAUGUUAGCAAAGGAGGUAUCUUGCUUGUGUGCUUGAGCUUUUGUAAUCAUUUUGGUUAUAGUGGAAAGUCGUUGGAAGUGCAAGGGGACUAAAUUACUCUCAAAUCGUGAGAGGAACUAGAAUAAUUGCUUGUGUCUUUCGCUUUACUUUAUUUGCUUUUGAACUAUAUUUUGUUGCUAUCAUUUGUUUACCUCUGAGUUAGAUUCAGUUGCAGAAUCUAAUGAUAUUUAAAUAA